GUUCUGGUUAGCAGGUUUGGUGCUGCUAGUAGAGCUGGCGUGAUCAUCACAUCAGUGUAUAAUAAUCCACUAAAGAACAAUUAAAGAACUAAUAAAGAACUGUUGUGCUUUAAGACAACAGGUUUUCUGCUGGUAGGUUUACAAGCCGGAAACUGUGGAAUAAAAGUCGGUGAGGACAUUUUUAACCUACUUGCUGUCAGGAUGUAAUUUACCAAGCAGCAGGACCAGAAAGUGAAAUAUUGUUAGAUUUUUUUUCCCCAACUUUGCAACUUACAAUUUGAGAAACAUUUAAGGCACAAUGCCACGGUCCAAAGAAAUUCCAGAAGACUUGCGCAAAAGAGUAAUCGAAGCUCACCAGUCUGGAAAAGGCUACAAACUUAUUGCUAGUUCCUUGGAUCUUCAGAUUUCCACGAUCAGAGCUAUAGUGCGUAAAUGGAAAACGUUUGGCACAGUCAUGACGAGGCCCAGGAGCGGCCGGCCACCCAAAAUCUCACCUAAAGAGAGGGACAACAUCAUUGGUGAGGUCCGGAAGAACCCCUGUACAACUCCUAAGAACCUGCAGGCCACCCUUGCCUCAGCGAACAUCCAUGUUCAUGAUUCAACCAUUCGAAGGAUACUGGGAAAACAUCUAAGACCAGUUUUAAUUUCUUAUGACGGUCGUACGAAAAUUUAUAAAGAAGAGGAACACGGCACUGAGGCUUCAGGUGAAUUAAUUCAGGAUGUAAAAGUUGAGAGUAUGGAAGAGUUCUCCAACAUUAAGACUGAUCACGCUGAUGCUGUUGCUUCUAAUGUUGCCAGGAACAAACAGGGGGAUGAUGGGGUAGAUAAGCCAGGCGACGGUAAUAAUGGAGAUGAUAACAGUGGCAAUAACACUGACGACGUGGGAGCUGUUGACCAAAAUAACACUGAUGACAGUGGCAACGGUGAUAAUUGUCAAUGAGAGUAAUAUUCACAGUAAUGAUUAUAAUAACCAGAGCUGUAAUAAUAUGAGAUUAUUUUAUGAUUUUUCCAUCAUGACUUGAGAGAUAAAUAGCUAACGUUGACAAUAUUAGUCUCGGUGACUAUUAAAAUGGUAAGUCUAAUGAUAAUGCAGUUCUAACAGUGGUGGUUCUGACAUUUAUAAACAACCACUGGAGUGGUUCUGACAUUUGUUAGACUAGUAGGUUCAGUAUUGUUGUGUACAAUGGCCCAGUGGAUUUAUAGACAUUACCACGGCUAAUCACUAAAAGUAAUACUUAGUUUAUUCAACUUUUUUCUUCUUCUUUACUUUGAUUUUUUACAUUAUUUAAAAGUAAGUGGACAUGGGCACAAGUAAUACGUUUUAUGGUGUUUAAGUUUUAAUUAUUAUGUUUUUGUGCAAAACAGCAAAUGUUUGUUUCUCUAGUGCUUGUUCAGAUCAGGGGCUAAAACACUGUCACAACACGUUGUUGCAAAAAUAAAGAGAUUUGUUGCACACAGA